CCCUUAGAUGUUCUGGGCCGCACGCGUGCUACACUGAGUGGAUCAGCGGGUCAGGUUGCGCGAAAGUGUUUCCUAAUCUUGAAAUCCGCUCGUGAUGGGGAUUGACGGUUGCAAUUUUCCGUCAUGAACGAGGAAUACCUUGUAAGCGCGGGUCAUCAUCCCGCGCUGAAUACGUCCCUGCCCUUUGUACACACCGCCCGUCGCUCCUACCGAUUGAGUGGUCCGGUGAGGCUUUGGGAUCUGAGCGGAAAGAGCGUUUCGCUGUUUCUGCUCGGAAAGCUCAGUCGAACCUUAUCAUUUAGAGGAAGGAGAAGUCGUAACA
rnacentral:rRNA from 1 species